rnacentral:lncRNA from 1 species
UUUAAGUAACCUAUAUUUUAAAAUUGUGUUCUUUUAUUUGCUCUUGGCUGCAUUUCAAUUUGAUUUUAUGCUCAUUCAUUUAAUAGUAUGAUUAAUUUGUUUUUUCUCGUUCUGUUACAGAGAUUACCCGAUAAGUUAAGCUUAUUCUGAUCUACAAAUAGGAUAGGAUGGUGUGCAAUGGUGAAAUUCUACCUGCAUUAUUACCUGCAAAUAUGAUACCAUUGAUUGUAGGAGUCCUUUUCUCCAGAAAGUAGCAGUAUCCCAAGAAAUUCUAAAAGUGCCUUUUUUCCACAACAAAGACAUUACUUGUUCAUUUGUGGAAAUGAAUUAUCAACAUCAAUGGUACAGUACACAGUCAAGAGUACAAAGAGUAAAAACUCUGAAUGCCAUGUAUUAUGCGACAUUGGUUCCUCAUUCACUCCAGGUAGUAGAAGUACCUGAAGUCCUGAGGAGAGCGUGAAGGUGCCUUUUUUACAUUUGGAACAGAAACAGUGUGUUAUUGCCAAAGGAAGGGUUUAUGAAACUAUGAGACGGAUUGAUUGGUUAACAAAUGGGAGAGAUUGGAAUGUUAAUUUUAACCCUAACGAUGACGACAUGGGAUGUCUGCAUGGGUAUCCUUUCUGAAUUUGGUUUUCAUUCCACACAUGUAAACGUUGAAACACUACAUUCUACAGCUAAUUCAGAUUGGCCAACAGUUGAGAGAGAUUGGAACUGAUAUCUUUGCUUACUGAAAAGAUAAGUCGUCUCCUAUGGUGUUUUAGCUGUUAACCUUUCAUCUUGGAGGCUCUUGUAGUUAAUUAAGGAACAUUAGAAGAACUCCGGAUACCAUUAAAUUAUGAAAUUAUGGAGCAUUGGUUGUAUUAGUCCUCAUUUGCCCUGUCAAAGUAGCUGUGCCCAUGGUUCUAAAGAAAGCAUGAAAGUGCCUUUUUUUAUUGGGAACGAAGACAGUGUGCUGAAAAAGGAUUUAUGACAAGGAACUGAUUGUUGUCCCACAAAUGAAAAGGAAUUGCAGCUAAUUUUGGUGCUACUAAAACAACUGAUGCUUUUGACGUCUUCACCUUGCAACAUUAUGCAGUUAAUUUUUGCAGUAACAAAGGGAGGCAAUUGGAAAUUAAUUAAUUUGGAUGCAACUGGAACAAAUUAUCUGCAGUGGUAUCCCUCCUAGAUUUGGUUGGUUUGCUCAUCACACUGAUAGACUUUAGAACGCCACUUUCUACAAUUAAUUAAGAGUAAAUUGGUAUUUAUCAUUGAUGUAUCUAUGGAGUUUAUCUAUCUAUGGAUUUUCUUUUUAACCUUUUUCUGUUGUCUAUGUCGUAUUAUUUGACGUUAAUCUAUGUCGUGAUCUAUGGUUGUGAUGUAAAAUGGUGUAAAAUUAUUGUUUGUUUAUUUUAUAAUUCAGCUGUU